UUACAUGUUUACACAGCUAAUUAUUAGUGCGCAUCGGAAAUUUAAUCUGGGAGAUGAAACCCAAAGAUGCGACUUCGAAUCUCGUUUUGACACCUUGUACUGUACCCAUAAUUGGUCUGAUUAAAGGCUUUCUGCAUGCUAAGUUAUAUUUUCUCCCCAUAAAAAAAACAUUAUACUGUACGUAUGCUUGACACUAAGACAGAUUCAAGUUCCUGUCUUAAGAACGUGUAGCUAUAAACAGAAAUAAUUUACAUAUAUGCAAAACGUUGUUCAAAGGAGCGAGCAAUAUUUCAUGGCUGACUCGCUUCAAAGUGCAAAAAUUUCCCACAAAGUACACCUCUGUUAUUUUGCUUGUAUGAAAUCGCGUUUUGGACCUUUACAUUUCUAAGUCUUUUGUAUGUCGCUCAUUAAGUCGCAUCCUCCAGGACGAGAAAAAUGGGCGACAAAAUUGCUAGUGUGAAUCAGGCUUUAGACAGAGUAUAAAGCCGGUUACAAAAGAGCAAGUUUUCUUCUAUGACAAGUUUUUAUGUGGCAAGUUUUACCCCCUCUUCUGAAACAUAGAUAUCUUAUAUACACUAGAUAGCGCAUCUCUUUUAAUUUAGUAAAAUUGAAGCCAAGAAUAUUGCAACGGUUACCCCCAUUUAAAUAGAUGGCGGCCAUGUUGGAGUUUCCCACUCGCUAAC